rnacentral:rRNA from 1 species
GAUGAACGCUGGCGGCGUGCCUAAUACAUGCAAGUCGAGCGAACGGACGAGAAGCUUGCUUUUCUGAUGUUAGCGGCGGACGGGUGAGUAACACGUGGAUAACCUACCUAUAAGACUGGGAUAACUUCGGGAAACCGGAGCUAAUACCGGAUAAUAUUUUGAACCGCAUGGUUCAAAAGUGAAAGACGGUCUUGCUGUCACUUAUAGAUGGAUCCGCGCUGCAUUAGCUAGUUGGUAAGGUAACGGCUUACCAAGGCAACGAUGCAUAGCCGACCUGAGAGGGUGAUCGGCCACACUGGAACUGAGACACGGUCCAGACUCCUACGGGAGGCAGCAGUAGGGAAUCUUCCGCAAAGGGCGAAAGCCUGACGGAGCAACGCCGCGUGAGUGAUGAAGGUCUUCGGAUCGUAAAACUCUGUUAUUGGGGAAGAACAUAUGUGUAAGUAACUGUGCACAUCUUGACGGUACCUAAUCAGAAAGCCACGGCUAACUACGUG